AUUGAACGCUGGCGGCAGGCCUAACACAUGCAAGUCGAGCGAGCGGCGGACGGGUGUGUAAUGUCUGGGAAUCUCCAUGUCGAGGGGGAUCACAGGUGGAAAGGACUGCUAAUACCGCAUACUCUUGGUUUGCCGAGGUGGGAUUAGCUAGUUGGGGAGGUACUGGCUCACCAAGGCGACGAUCCCUAGCUGGUCUGAGAGGAUGAUCAGCCACACUGGAACUGAGACACGGUCCAGACUCCUACGGGAGGCAGCAGUGGGGAAUAUUGCACAAGGGGGGAAACCCUGAUGCAGCCAUGCCGCGUGUGUGAAGAAGGCCUUCGGGUUGUAAAGCACUGUCAGCGAGGAGGCGUUACUCGCAGAAGAAGCACCGGCUAACUCCGUGCCAGCAGCCGCGGUAAUAC
rnacentral:rRNA from 1 species